AGUCGACGGCAGCGGGGGAGCUUGCUCCUGCCGGCGAGUGGCGAACGGGUGAGUAAUGCAUCGGAACGUGUCCUGUUGUGGGGGAUAACUGAUCGAAAGAUCAGCUAAUACCGCAUGAGACCUGAGGGUGAAAGCGGGGGAUCGCAAGACCUCGCGCGACAGGAGCGGCCGAUGUCUGAUUAGCUAGUUGGUGAGAUAAAAGCUUACCAAGGCGACGAUCAGUAGCUGGUCUGAGAGGAUGAUCAGCCACAUUGGGACUGAGACACGGCCCAGACUCCUACGGGAGGCAGCAGUGGGGAAUUUUGGACAAUGGGGGAAACCCUGAUCCAGCCAUGCCGCGUGCGGGAUGAAGGCCUUCGGGUUGUAAACCGCUUUUGUCAGAGACGAAAAGGGACGCACGAAUAAUACGUUCCGCUGACGGUAUCUGAAGAAUAAGCACCGGCUAACUACGUGCCAGCAGCCGCGGUAAUACGUAGGGUGCAAGCGUUAAUCGGAAUUACUGGGCGUAAAGGGUGCGCAGGCGGCUGUGCAAGGCAGAUGUGAAAUCCCCGGGCUUAACCUGGGAACUGCAUUUGUGACUGCACGGCUAGAGUUUGUCAGAGGAGGGUGGAAUUCCGCGUGUAGCAGUGAAAUGCGUAGAUAUGCGGAAGAACACCAAUGGCGAAGGCAGCCCUCUGGGACAUGGCUGACGCUCAUGCACG
rnacentral:rRNA from 1 species